AGUGAACGCUGGCGGCAGGCCUAACACAUGCAAGUCGAGCGGCAGCGCGGGGGCAACCCUGGCGGCGAGCGGCGGACGGGUGAGGAAUUCGUCGGAAUCUGCCUUUUUGUGGGGGAUAACGUAGGGAAACUUACGCUAAUACCGCAUACGUCCUCCGGGAGAACGUGGGGGGCCGCAAGACCUCACGCCGGAAGGUGAUCCGCCGACCGAUUAGCUAGUUGGUGGGGUAUAGGCCCACCAAGGGGACGAUGGGUAGCAGGUCUGAGGGGAUGAUGAGCGACACUGGGACUGAGACACGGCCCAGACUCCUACGGGAGGCAGCAGUGGGGAAUAUUGGACAAUGGGCGGAAGCUUGAUCCAGCCAUGCCGGGUGUGUGAAGAAGGCCUUCGGGUUGUAAAGCACUUUUGUCCGGAAAGAAAUCCCUGGAGCUAAUACCUUCGGGGGAGGACGGUACCGGAAGAAUAAGCACCGGCUAACUUCGU
rnacentral:rRNA from 1 species